rnacentral:rRNA from 1 species
CCUACGGGAGGCAGCAGUNGGGAAUAUUGGACAAUGGGCGAAAGCUGAUCCAGCCAUGCCGCAUGAGUGANGANGGCCUUCGGGUUGUAAAGCCCUUUNAGUGAGGAAGAUAAUGANGGUACUCACAGAAGAUGUCCGGCUAACUCCGUGCCAGCNGCCGCNGUAAUACGGAGAGGGCUAGCGUUAUUCGGAAUCAUUGGGCGUAAAGNGCGCGUAGGCNGGUUAGUAAGUUAAAAGUGAAAUCCCANUGCUCAACCUUUGAACUGCUUUUNANACUGCUAGUCUAGAGAUUGACAGAUGAUAGAGGAAUUCCUAGUGUAGAGGUGAAAUUNGUAAAUAUUAGGAGGAACACCAGUUGCGAAGGCGUCUAUCUUGUUCAAAUCUGAUGCUGAGGCGUGANGGCGUGGGGAGCAAACAGGAUUAGAUACCCUGGUAGUCCACGCUGUAAACAAUGAAUGUUAAAUAUUGGAUGUUUACUUUCUGUAUUAUAGCUAACGCGUUAAACAUUCCGCCUGGGGACUACGGUCGCAAGAUUAAAACUCAAAGGAAUUGACGGGGACCCGCACAAGCGGUGGAGCAUGUGGUUUAAUUCGAUGCAACGCGAAAAACCUUACCACACCAUGACAUGGAAAUUAUACCUAUUCGAAGGGAUAGGGUCGGUUCGGCAGGAUUUCACACAGGUGUUGCAUGGCUGUCGUCAGCUCGUGUCNUGAGAUGUUGGGUUAAGUCCCGCAACGAGCGCAACCCUCAUCCUUAGUUACCAUCAGGUAAUGCUGGGGACAUUAAGGAAACUGCAAGUGAUAAACUGGAGGAAGGUGGGGAUGAUGUCAAGUCAUCAUGGCCCUUAUGGAGUGGGCAACACACGUGCUACAAUGGUGGCUACAAUGGGCUGCAAAGUUGCGAGGCUAAGCUAAUCCCUGUAAAAGCCAUCUCAGUUCGGAUUGUACUCUGCAACUCGAGUGCAUGAAGUUGGAAUCGCUAGUAAUCGUGGAUCAGCACGCAACGGUGAAUACGUUCUCGGGUCUUGUACACACUGCCCGUCACACAAUGGGAAUUGGUUUG